GGCUGCAGUUCCCCGGGGCAGAGGCCGGCACGCUGAGUGAGAGGGGAAGGGGAGCCCUGGUGAGUAGGAGGCAACUCCUCCUCAGUCCGGGACCAGCACCCUGGGCCUUGCAAGCAAAAACUUGGGAAAGAAGAGAGCCCUCUUUCCUUCGACGAUCACACUGUUCCAUGCAGCCCCAAGGGUGGGGAAGGGCCUUUUGGCUUUCAGCCCUCGCACUGAGUGUUCAUCAGCGGUGGACCGAGGACAGGCAUCGGGCUGAAAUCCACCGCCUGGCUUUUGGCACCAUCCUGUGACCUCUCUACCCAUGCCAGGAAAGAGACCUGAACGAACGGAGUCCUCGUUGUGACAGGAACAUGACAAGGCCGGCAGAAGCAAUUGCAACACUGCAAAUUUUCUAGAAUGCCUGUGGAGAUACUCUUGGACUAGCCAACACCCUGGAGGUCCAUUAAUAGCAAUAUCACAGGAGUCUUACUCCCAGAUGUGAGACAUGAAAAGAGAACCUGGACAAGUGUCCUUCCUACUGUGCUAAAUACUGGUAACCCUUUGGAGCUGUGCAACGUGAGAAUCACACACAGGGAAGGAGACUGGGGAACAUCAGCUAGACUGUGUCAUGACUGAGCUCUUGGACAUACAUUUAUACCUUUCAGUUACUGCAGUGGGAAGUCAGGUGAAGUAAAACCCAUUUGAAUGUGACAAAGGUACGUGUAAACGCUGAAUGGGAACAGACAGCCAGAGACAGCAAACCAACAUGUACUCAGUAUCUCAGUAACAAAUAAUGAUUGAACAUGAACAUUCCUAAUCUUAAAGUACGAAUCUGACGUCAGUUCCUGGCUGAAUUCGUACCUGGCUUUUUACACCUUUUUUUUCAGAAUAGCAUAGUAAAUACGGCUUUUUGGGUAUGCUUUGUUACUAUGUACUAUUACCUUUUUAUUAUUCCUGGCCAAAGUAAUCAAAUUAGGAUACUUAAUACUAAUGCUUUGUGUAAUUCAAGAUAUCCUUGUGUAGACUGUGGGCCAGUAAAAGCCGUAACUUCAUAUAGUAUGGCAGUUUCAUAGGCAUUUUUAGAGAAGAAAGCCUGUAUCAUUUUAUAAUCCUCCGUGUUCUGAAGGAAAUGGCAGACAUAUGUACAUAUACAGACAGGAAUGUUAUACUAUCUAAACUUUAAAACCAAGUAAUCUGUAAAACCAAUUACUGUAAAGACUUAAUUUUUUAAAGACCCUGUUGGUUUUGGUCCUAGAGAAUAUGCUAUGAAGAUGCAUUGUAUAUAUCUUUACAACUGACAUAAAGAAACACUUUUUUUUGUUCCUGAGUUUUUAAGGUUUUUAAUUUUUCCUUCGGAAGCACUAAAUAAUCCCCAGAGGAAGAUGCGUUGCGCUUUCCUGGAUACCACACAGCACAAAAUUUUAGCCCUGCAGCUGGACCAAUAGUAUCUCUUGUCAUUUACAAGAUGCAUCAAAUUUGAUCCUGGAUAAUUUAAAUAAAGACAGGUAGAAUCCUAAAACAAAGACAUAAUAUUUUAAUACUUCUGUAGGUCUCACAAGUUUUUCUCUCAGUGAAUUAAAAACUCAUCACUAUAGUUUUUUUAAGACUAGUCAAGUAGGGUUUUUAAUGAUUUCGAAUCUUUUAAAAGAUACUUUAAAGUGCUGUGUCUCAUCUUCAAAAUGGUUUAAAAUUCAUCAAGUUGGAAUGGUUUUUUUAGAUAAGAGCUGAAGUUUCUAUGAUUUUUCUGCAGUGCUUGGUAUUACUCAUAUCCAAAUGGCAACAAUGUGUGUGUAGAGAAAUGUGAUAAUAAAAUCCAUUGAGUAGGGACGUGUUAAUACAUAGCUGGUGAUGCAAAGUUUCAAAGGAAGAUAUUUUGCCAUUGUGAUCUGCUACCUACUGAAUGUUAUUUCUAAAGAUAAUUGGUUAUGAUUCUCAUGUAGUAAGUCCUGUAGUACUCUGGGUACUUGUAUUCUAGACUGUUACAUUCUUUUUUUCAGCCUUGAGCCUUUGAAACAUGCAUUUUUUAGAAUCCAUUUCUAUAUCCUGGUGCUUACCAACACUAUACAAUUCUAUAUAAGAACACUUUAAUUGCUACAGACUUUCUCCAUGUCUACAUUUACAGCAUUAUCAAGAAGUCCCUCUGCUUACCAUGAAUCUAUGCACCAGCUUCUACAUGUCAUUUUUGCCACCUGUGUCAAACAGAGUUUUUUUCAGGCCUAUUUUUUCAUUGACCCAUACAGACUGCUGAGCCCUUCAUGUUUUCAAUUUUGCUGAAUAAUUUAGUGUGGUGGACAUGCUAUGUCACAUACAAGUGCAAAAUAAGAUCAUAGAUGGUUGAAAAUCUAAAUAGCAGAUAAGAUUUUCUUUCUUGUCAGCUAGGAAACAAAUCUAGAAGCCUAAAGGAUACUGAAUUGCAUAGAUCAAUAUAAGCAAGAAUAUUUCAACUGAUGCAACAAUUCUGCUGAAGCCAGACAUUUGUAGUCAAACCUAUAUGAGCAGAUCUGUUAUAAAGACAGUUAACAAAAACUACUGGUUGCUAUUAUGAACUGAAAAGUUUUGCAGUAUAUUGAACCUGUAGCUUUAAAAAAACACCAUUAAAUAGAGUAUUUGCCUAUGUUGCAAUACACAGAUGAGAUCGAGGUAAGGAAAAGGACCUUAGAUAACAUGAAGAUAGUAACAUUUUCUACUUCAAUGAAUAAUACAAAUUAUUCAAUACUAAUGCAUUAGUUACUUUAAAAUAAAAUUAUCUUUAUAAAAAAGGAUUCACUUUUCUGGAAUGGAUAUGUAUGAAAUAUUCAAAUCAGAAUAUGAAAAGAACUAUUAUCUACAGUUGAUCUUUUACUGACAAAUGGACCCAAUUCAAGAAAAUCUUAGACAUGCAUAUAAUGAGGCUUAUUCAUGGCAUCACUUAGUCUAAAAUAUAACUUGAAACAAUCACAAAGUUAAGCAUGUGUUUAAGUGUUGUUUGAAUAAAUAUGAUUUCACAAAUCAUAAAAUAUAUAAAGAUGAAUCAGAGAAAAAGAAAUUUGAAAUGCUAAUGUGCAAUUAAAUGUGCUUAAAAUUUAUUUACAAUAAAAGGAAAACUGUGGAAAACUGCAUCCACCUUCUUUCUCAAAGGCAAAUCUGAAU